CUUUUCAGAAAUAGGUUUCAACUAUUUCUGUUAAUUGCUACUUCAGCAAAAUAUUUCCUUUGGAAAUUGGAAGUGCUGGAUCAAUCAGAGGACACCAGAAGAUUUGUAUUUGUAACUAUAGAAGCACAGUUGUAUUCACGUGGAGUACUUGUGCACCACCAGAGGAUGACACAGGAUGGUCAGUCAUCAUUGUCCAUGAGGAAAAAGAUAACUGUACUUUAUUGUGUGUCAUCCAAGAUGAGUCUCCAAUUGCAAAGAUCAAAGGUCAUCUCCCAUCUUGCAUAGUGUGGAUUUCAGAUGGAAGAAUGUACUCUAAACACAUUCUGUAGAAGAAUAUAGGACAAUAAACGUUAUGCUUCAAGGGUUCCUGCA
rnacentral:lncRNA from 1 species